UUUCAAUUCAAUUAAGUUGUGCAUUGAAUAAUUUUAUGAGAACAGAAUUAUGUCCCAUUUUGCUGCUGAAUUGCUGAUUUCGUCGAGCACGUUGCACGGUUUGUCCCAAACAAUUCUGGUUGCACAUUGGUAGAAAUAGAAGCCAGCAUCUCUCGACUAAAUUAAACGGCCGUUUUGUAAACUCGCCCCGAAAUGAAAGGAAAGAAAUCAUGAAACGGAUUCGUUUUUUCGACCGCGGGCAAACUGAAGUUUAUGCUCAGCCGUCAAAUGAAACCCCUAAGAAAGACAAACAGAUUACAAUCGCGCGGAACAUUGAGCGUCACUGUUCCAUCACAGACUCGAAUAAUGAAGCGACAACAGAAUGGCAAAUGCCAUAUCUGAGAUAAGCAUAUCGGUACAGUUCUCGGCAAUUUCAUUACAGAAGCGAUCUCAACCAAAAUUGAUCAAAUUGUUGGCAACAAAUUCACUGUCGUUGUCAAUGUGGGCGAUGCCAUUUGUAUGCCAUGCUUGACCAUGUUCAAGGAAAUGGAUCGGCUGGAAAUGUUGCUGACAAUAAUACGCCCCCUGCCAAAUUACGGAAGCUCAACACAAGUGUUGGUUCGAUCAAUGCGAAUUAUACGAACCGAAAGACGAGCAAGGGUGACGAUGCCGAAGCGACUGCACCAUUUUUGCAGCCGAUUCAGCCAGUGAAUCAAUUUGCCGAGAGUGCCAGCGCAAUUGAUUAUGAUAUUGAUGACGCAGCUGCCGAAUUUCAGGAGACGACGCAACCGAAUAGCAUUAGUCAAACACAAUUGGUGCGGCAAGUAAAUAAACCGACGGUACCACGUCGACGGCCGAAUGGCUUCUAUCACUGAAAAGUCUGCUCGGACACAUUCCCAAGCGUGGAUGAAUGGAAGAAACACAAUGACGAAAAGCAUGAAAAAAUCUUAGCAUGCAGUGAAUGCAAGAAAAAAUACAAAUUGCAAAAAUGCUACGAUUCGCAUAUGAAAAAGUAUCAUAAUUCAGAAAAUCCUGCAAAAAAUAACAAAAAAACCAGCCAACCAACCAAAAACAUUCAAACACAACUAAACACAUCUACAUUCGACAAAGCGGAAAUCCGAGGAAAUGCUAACAAUAUCGAAGGCGCGGUGGUGAUAACAAGCCAUGAAAUUUUGACCGGUGGACGCAGAUUCAAUAUUACCGUGGCAAACCCACAGGACGCCACUGCGAACUAUAUCGACGUAGAGAAUACAAACAAACAAGUGGACAACACACAUUGCGAUGUGAGCAGUUCCGAGAUUGACAGAUCCGAUGACAUUUUAUCCGAUUCAGGCGAUGAUCAUCAAUUGAAACAACAACAGCAACAGCCUGCCGACAAAGAGAUACACACAAAUUCUGAAGAACAGCCAGUGCAAAGUGUUGCCUUAUUACAAGCGUCAGAUGAAAAUGUUUUGGAUGUGAGAAACGAAAGUGUUGUAACAAGUUCCUCAGAAAACGAAGAAAGUUUUAACCAUUCAUAUUCCAACGGUCAUGACAGUUGCAACAGCGGUAAUUCUCGUGAUGAAGAUGAUAGUGAGCAGAGUGGUGGUAAUAAGCGAGUUGAGAUCACUGUUGGUCAUGACGAUUGUGUAAAAAUGGGGUAUUUUAACAAAAAAAAUGAAAGAAAUGGAAGGAAGACUGACAGGAAAAAUUACAACAGAGAUGGGACAAAUGGAAGAAAGACUGACAGGAAAAAUUGAACAUAUGCUUCGUGGAAGGUGAAAAGAAUAGCCUAUAAUAUUCCAAUAAACAUUAUCGUUGCUAUAAGAAUUCAUAUUAUCGCGACACCUAAUAGCGAAACGAGUUAAUUUUACCCGAGAAAACCUUACAAAGAGAAUAAAAGUUGAACGAGAUAAAAACAAAACAUGCUACGAUCAUCGUCAUGCGCUAGGUUAGUCACGUCUUAAUUCAUAGUUUAUUCACAAAUUACACCAAAUAGAGAAAAAAAAACACAACAACAGCAACAGCAUAAAUAGUUAAUCAAAGCACAUUAGCUUAACUUGAUCAUAUUUACAGCAACGAGAAAAAAACGAACAUAAUAUUUAUCACAAACAGACACUAGUACAAACCUGAUGAAUUUCUUCUAGAUGACAAAUACAAGAUACGAAAAAAAAAAACACAAUUGAUACUGGUCAAACCAAACCGACUUAUUUCAACAUCAAAGACAUUCCAUCCACAAUUUUUCAUUGCUAUGCCAAGCAAUAAAUAACAAACAAAAGAAUGGAACUUGAUCCAAUUCCAAGAAAUAUUUCAAAUAACGAAACAAACACUGACAAUACAUUCCAAAGGGAUACAAAAAAAAAACACAAAUCAGAUGAUUUGAACAUUCGCAGCAACGAGCUAAUUCUUCGUAGUCAAAAGUCAAAGUCGCCAAAAUAUUAUUGAUAUUCAAAUACAAAAAUCCCCCUGCGAAAAUCAAUAACGGCUAAAAAACAACUUCAAAACGAACAUUAAUACUAAACGCUAUAAAUGACCGUAGGUGUAUGCAAACGUAGGAAAUAAAAGCCUUUAAUCAAUGUGCAGAAGAGUCUCCUCCUCUGUUUAUUCUUUGUUUCACCCUAUAUACAAAUUAACUCCAUUUCAUCAUUCGAUAACGAAUCACACGCUAAUUCACCUAAAUUAAUAGUAUUGAAUUAUGACGGAUUUGCAAUAAAAAAAACUACAUGUCACAUAAAUCUAUUCAUUAAUGAUGAAAAAAAAACAAAUAAAUCGCGAAAAUUAAACCAAAGCAAUUGAUUCGCAGUCCAGAAAAAGCCUCAUUCUGCAAUCGAAUCGAUUCGAGCGACGCAAUCGGAUAUUUGAUUCCAUCAAAUCCAUUCUUAUUUCACUUAAUUCCAAAAACAAAAUUCGAAUUGGUUUCAUUUUUCAUUGAAUUUUAAUUUACAAAAUAAAAUUAAAUGUGAUGCAUA